AUUGAACGCUGGCGGCAGGCCUAACACAUGCAAGUCGAACGAGUGGCGGACGGGUGAGUAAUGUAUGGGAAUCUAGCUGAUGGAGGGGGAUAACUACUGGAAACUGUAGCUAAUACCGCAUACCAUCGGAUGAGCCCACGUGGGAUUAGCUAGUUGGUGAGGUAACGGCUCACCAAGGCGACGAUCUCUAGCUGGUCUGAGAGGAUGACCAGCCACACUGGGACUGAGACACGGACCAUACUCCUCCGGGGGGCAGCAGUGGGGAAUAUUGCGCAAUGGGCGCAACCCUGACGCAGCCAUGCCGCGUGAAUGAAGAAGGCCUUCGGGUUGUAAAGUUCUUUCGGUAGCGAGGCGUUACCUACAGAAGAAGCACCGGCUAACUCCGUGCCAGCAGCCGCGGUAAUAC
rnacentral:rRNA from 1 species